rnacentral:sRNA from 1 species
AUUUUCUCCAUCAUCACGGAUCUGUGCCCGGCGGUCCUCUGCUUGAGCUUUUCAAGUCAGGGUCGACUGCCGCGCAGCUCGAUAACCUCAUGGAGCCAUCAACUUGCUAUGGUGUCAAUCAUCCUAUCGACAGGUCCUAGAAAGAUCGGUCUGGGGGCUGUCCCGUUUGUCGUCGCAAGACGGCCAGCGCGGCGGCUCCUGCACCGGAGGCGGUAUAUUCCAACCCUCUUUUCCGAGGUCGUCGACCCGUGAGGUUGGGGAAAACCAUGAGGCCUACAUAA